GAUGAAGAACGCAGCGAAAUGCGAUAAGUAAUGCGAAUUGCAGAAUUCCGUGAGUCAUCGAAUCUUUGAACGCACAUUGCGCCCUCUGGUAUUCCGGGGGGCAUGCCUGUCCGAGCGUCAUUACAACCCUCAAGCUCAGCUUGGUGUUGGGCCCCGCCGCCCCGGCGGGCCCUAAAGUCAGUGGCGGUGCCGUCCGGCUCCGAGCGUAGUAAUUCUUCUCGCUCUGGAGGUCCGGUCGUGUGCUCGCCAGCAACCCCCAAUUUUUUUCAGGUUGACCUCGGAUCAGGUAGGGAUACCCGCUGAACUUAAGCAUAUCAAUAAGCGGAGGA
rnacentral:misc_RNA from 1 species